rnacentral:rRNA from 1 species
CCGCGGUAAUUCCGGAAACUCCUACGGGAGGCAGCAGUGGGGAAUAUUGCACAAUGGGCGAAAGCCUGAUGCAGCGACGCCGCGUGAGGGAUGAAGGCCUUCGGGUUGUAAACCUCUUUCAGCAGGGAAGCGGUACCUGCAGAAGAAGCACCGGCUAACUAC